GCUCGAGUGGCGAACGGGUGAGUAACACGUGAGUAACCUGCCCUUGACUUUGGGAUAACUUCAGGAAACUGGGGCUAAUACCGGAUAGGAGCUCCUGCUGCAUGGUGGGGGUUGGAAAGUUUCGGCGGUUGGGGAUGGACUCGCGGCUUAUCAGCUUGUUGGUGGGGUAGUGGCUUACCAAGGCUUUGACGGGUAGCCGGCCUGAGAGGGUGACCGGCCACAUUGGGACUGAGAUACGGCCCAGACUCCUACGGGAGGCAGCAGUGGGGAAUAUUGCACAAUGGGCGGAAGCCUGAUGCAGCAACGCCGCGUGCGGGAUGACGGCCUUCGGGUUGUAAACCGCUUUCGCCUGUGACGAAGCGUGAGUGACGGUAAUGGGUAAAGAAGCACCGGCUAACUACGUGCCAGCAGCCGCGGUGAUACGUAGGGUGCGAGCGUUGUCCGGAUUUAUUGGGCGUAAAGGGCUCGUAGGUGGUUGAUCGCGUCGGAAGUGUAAUCUUGGGGCUUAACCCUGAGCGUGCUUUCGAUACGGGUUGACUUGAGGAAGGUAGGGGAGAAUGGAAUUCCUGGUGGAGCGGUGGAAUGCGCAGAUAUCAGGAGGAACACCAGUGGCGAAGGCGGUUCUCUGGGCCUUUCCUGACGCUGAGGAGCGAAAGCGUGGGGAGCGAACAGGCUAGAUACCCUGGUAGUCCACGCUGUAAACGGUGGGUACUAGGUGUGGGGUCCAUUCCACGGGUUCCGUGCCGUAGCUAACGCUUUAAGUACCCCGCCUGGGGAGUACGGCCGCAAGGCUAAAACUCAAAGGAAUUGACGGGGCCCCGCACAAGCGGCGGAGCAUGCGGAUUAAUUCGAUGCAACGCGUAGAACCUUACCUGGGUUUGACAUGGAUCGGGAGUGCUCAGAGAUGGGUGUGCCUCUUUUGGGGUCGGUUCACAGGUGGUGCAUGGCUGUCGUCAGCUCGUGUCGUGAGAUGUUGGGUUAAGUCCCGCAACGAGCGCAACCCUUGUUCACUGUUGCCAGCACGUUAUGGUGGGGACUCAGUGGAGACCGCCGGGGUCAACUCGGAGGAAGGUGGGGAUGACGUCAAGUCAUCAUGCCCCUUAUGUCCAGGGCUUCACGCAUGCUACAAUGGCUGGUACAGAGAGUGGCGAGCCUGUGAGGGUGAGCGAAUCUCGGAAAGCCGGUCUCAGUUCGGAUUGGGGUCUGCAACUCG
rnacentral:rRNA from 1 species